AGCUGCUGGAGAGGGGCUGGGAGGCUGCAACCUUAGCCAAGCCUGCCUGUGUGAUUCUCUCCUAUUCCACAGGGACCACUGUGGCCCAGGUGACAGCCACAGAUGCUGACAAUCCCCUGUUUGGAAACAACACCAAGCUCAUCUACUCUAUCCUACUGGGGGAGCCCUACUUCUCUGUGGAACCCAAGACAGGCAUAAUCAUGACCUAAAUGGCCAACAUGGACAGGGAGGCUAGGGAGCAGUUUGUGGUGGUGGUGCUGGUGAAGGAUUUGCUUGGACUCAAAGGUGGUUACUCUGCCUCCACCACUGUCACCAUCAGCUUGACGGAUGUCAAUGACAACGGACCCACCUUCCAGCACAAGCAGAACCCUCUAUCCUUGUCUGUGGUGUUGUUCAUCAAAGUGCUGGACAUAAAGGACAAUGUGCCAAGGCUUGCCAGAGACUACCAGCCAUACAUCUGUGACGGCACACAGUCAGGAGAUGUACGAUGCAUCCUUCACUAUUUUCACUGAGAAUAAUGUAAUAUUGGCCUUCUGUAGAGGUAUGUGGGCUAUGGGCUGAGUCACAAGGUUUGAGCUUCGUAUCACUAACUGACAAUACAGAUGUUAUGACAUAAUCACAGGCUAUCUAUGUUAGUGUACCUUGUCAGUUACCUUGCCUUGUCUCAACUACAGUGCCCUCAGAAAGUAUUAACACCCCUUGAACAAUUGUGUUUAUUUAUUUUCACAUUUUGUUGUGUUACAGCCUGAAUAUAACAUUUAUUAAAUUGAGAUGUUUUGUCACUGGUCUACAUACAAUACCUCUUAAUGUCAUGUCAUGUUUUUUUAUUUUUUUUAUUUUUUUACAAAUUCAUAA
ensembl:lncRNA